rnacentral:rRNA from 1 species
GACGAACGCUGGCGGCGUGCUUAACACAUGCAAGUCGAACGGUAAGGCCCUUUCGGGGGUACACGAGUGGCGAACGGGUGAGUAACACGUGGGUGAUCUGCCCUUCACUUUGGGAUAAGCCUGGGAAACUGGGUCUAAUACCGGAUAGGACUACGCGAUGCAUGUCGUGUGGUGGAAAGCUUUUGCGGUUUGGGAUGGGCCCGCGGCCUAUCAGCUUGUUGGUGGGGUGAUGGCCUACCAAGGCGACGACGGGUAGCCGGCCUGAGAGGGUGUCCGGCCACACUGGGACUGAGAUACGGCCCAGACUCCUACGGGAGGCAGCAGUGGGGAAUAUUGCACAAUGGGCGCAAGCCUGAUGCAGCGACGCCGCGUGGGGGAUGACGGCCUUCGGGUUGUAAACCCCUUUCAGCACAGACGAAGCGUAAGUGACGGUAUGUGCAGAAGAAGCACCGGCCAACUACGUG